UUAAUGUGAAUACUACCAUGUCGACCUGUAGGUACAACAGACUGUAAAUACCACAGGUAGAUAACACUUUAAAUUCUGCACUGAGGUAGGUAAUACUGAAGGUAUAUAUUAUCCUGAGGUAGGUAAUACUGAAGGUAUAUAUUAUCCUGAGGUAGGUAAUACUGAAGGUAUAUAUUAUCCUGAGGUAGGUAAUACUGACCUGAGGUUGGUACUACUGACUGUAAAUACCACCUUGAGGUAGUUACUACUCAAUGUAAAUACUAAAC